rnacentral:rRNA from 1 species
UACGAAGGGGGCGAGCGUUGUUCGGAUUUACUGGGCGUAAAGGGCGCGCAGGCGGCUCAUCAAGUCAGGCGUGAAAGCCCCGGGCUUAACCUGGGAGGUGCGUCUGGGACUGGUGGGCUAGAGAUCGGGAGAGGAGAGUGGAAUUCCCAGUGUAGAGGUGAAAUGCGUAGAUAUCAGGAGGAACACCGGUGGUGUAAACGGCUUUCUGGACCAUAACUGACGCUGAGGCACGAAAGCGUGGGUAGCAAACAGG